rnacentral:lncRNA from 1 species
UUGAGGGAUAAGCAUUAUGCAGCAUAUAAUGAUGAUAUGUGUUGCUGGACGGUGUCUUAUGCACCUCACUUAGGUGUUUGCUUUGGGAUAUUCAAGAAGCCUUAUGUUCUCUGAAAGUAUGAUGUUGCCAUUCAUUAUCCACGUAAGAUUGUUGCUCAUCUGUGAUGCCCAGUGCUUAUGGCCAUUUAAUUGCUAACAAAUUUCGUCAGGUUUUGAAAUAUUGUCAACAACUUAGUAUGAGUAUGUGGGGAGAUAACGCUAGAGACCUAAGCCUACUAAAAGAGUAGUUUUCUUGUAUGACAACUCAUUGAAAUUUGAUGUCUUAAAAACUAAACUAUACAACCUUGAUAUAUUUUGAUGAACUUGAUUCCUUCUU